UGGGGAAUAUUGGACAAUGGGGGCAACCCUGAUCCAGCCAUGCCGCGUGUGUGAAGAAGGCCUUAGGGUUGUAAAGCACUUUCAGUGGGGAGGAAAAGUUAACGGCUAAUACCCGUUAGCCCUGACGUUACCUACAGAAGAAGCACCGGCAAACUCCGUGCCAGCAGCCGCGGUAAUACAGAGGGUGCAAGCGUUAAUCGGAAUUACUGGGCGUAAAGCGUGCGUAGGCGGCCUGGUCAGUCGGAUGUGAAAGCCCCGGGCUUAACCUGGGAAUUGCAUUCGAUACUGCCAGGCUAGAAUGUAGUAGAGGGAAGUGGAAUUCCGGGUGUAGCGGUGAAAUGCGUAGAUAUCCGGAGGAACAUCAGUGGCGAAGGCGACUUCCUGGACUAACAUUGACGCUGAGGUGCGAAAGCGUGGGGAUCAAACAGGAUUAGAUACCCUGGUAGUCCACGCCGUAAACGAUGUCAACUAGAUGUUGGGGGGUAUAACCCUUUAGUAUCACAGCUAACGCAUUAAGUUGACCGCCUGGGGAGUACGGUCGCAAGAUUA
rnacentral:rRNA from 1 species